UUCUGGCAGGUGAUUCUGGCUGCAGGAUGUUCAGGAAACAUGAUCCAGAUCUUUUGAAUCUUUCUGGAGUUAGAAUCUGUUUUUCUGUUCAUCCAGUGAUUUCCUACAUUUCCCAGAACCCCACAGAAGGGUGUCAGAUUCUGCUUCCAGCUCCUGAAGAUCUUCUUCCAGUUAAAACUUUUCUUAAAGGGAACAUAUUUCAUUCAUGAAGCUCUGACUAACAGACGUGAUGAAUGUAGAACUUCAUCGACAAACAACAAACUGGUUUCUGCUGCAGAUUUAACUGGUUUCAAGUGUUUUCCAGAAGUUUGUGUUUGAAUCAUGAAACAGGAAGAAACCAGGUGGUCUGAUCAAGAAAAAUCACUCUGGAUUCUAGGAAUAUUUUAAACAGGAGGAGACUGGAGGGGUUGAAGCUGAUGGAUCUGAUGCUGUCAGCAUACCUGGAUGUUGAGAUUCACCAAGAAGAUCCUUUCACCUGAACUGCUUGCAUCAAGGCUGAAGAUACAAGAUCCUCACCAGCAAAAUGGCUUCUCUCGUCACUGCGUUCAACGCUACAGCUACAGAUUCAAGUCCUCGCUGCAGCAGCUGUUUGAGUGCUGUGAAGGAUGGAUGAAGGAUCUUCUGUCCAGAAGGUCACGAAUUCAGUUUGAGAAAACGUACGCAGACUUCCACGUGUCCUUGAUCAAGUCUAGAAACACUUCCUGUCCUCUGGAGAGAAAGAGUUUCAGCCAAAUUGUGCAGCUUCAGAUCGCUAAUUUAUGAUGUCAAUGGUUCAGAUUUGACAUUUUGUUGAGCAUCAGUAUCUGAAAUUAGCCACCAUCAGAUUCAUUUUUGGUAUUUAGCUGAUGUAUGCAGGUGAGAGCAUCAAUCAGACUUAUUACAAUGAUAAAAGGUGAAGCAAAAACUGUUGUUUGUCUGUUUGCAAUGUUAAAUAUUUCAGUUGUGAGCAGUUACUGAGGAAGAGAAAUAAACAGAGACUGGAUUAUAAACAGGACACCUUAAAAAUGAAACAAACUGUAAGUAAUGUGACCCAAUUUAAGAGUUUUUGCCGCUUUCUGUUCUCAAAUUGGUCAUCCAAGCUUGACUAUCGCUAAAGGAACUUGAGUUAAA